rnacentral:lncRNA from 1 species
GUCACGUUUGUUUUACUCUUUGGAUGACAAACUUUCUCUCUGGUAGUGCCCUUUUAAAAUCUCCUUUUACAGUCCUCCAGGCCUUGGUGCAGGCUGCUUUAAAAGCCAGACAGGUACAACUUCUGACAACAUCUCAAGCCAUCAGGUAAAUAAGAGAAGUGAAUGUUCCCUUCAUAAAAAGGUUGUUUUUGAUGUUUAAAGCACCAUAUUCCAUUUCAUUAUGGCAAUGCUGGACAGACUUAAUGAAUGUUUAACUUUGAUCCUUCAGAUUUGAUGUGAGGAAUAUCAGAUCUCAAGAAAAGCGGUAGGAUUUGGAUCUGUAUUCAUCACAU